UAUCGCCGCUGCCACUACCAUAGUCGUAGCCACGACCGCAGCUGCUGUCACAACCGCAGCCCCUUCCACUGCACUACUUCCUUCCUCCCUUCUCUCGUUCCUACUUUUUCUUUCCCAAACACAACUGCCGCAGACACAGCCGCCACCACCGCAGCCGCAAUCACGGCCACAGCCCAUUUUUUUUUUCCCUUUCCUUUCUUUCUCUUUCCCAAAAGCAGCUACUGCAGCCACCACCGCUG
rnacentral:lncRNA from 1 species